GACGAACGCUGGCGGCGUGCUUAACACAUGCAAGUCGAACGGAAAGGCCCUGCUUGCAGGGUCCUCGAGUGGCGAACGGGUGAGUAACACGUGGGUGAUCUGCCCUGCACUUCGGGAUAAGCCUGGGAAACUGGGUCUAAUACCGGAUAGGAGCCAUUUUUAGUGUGAUGGUUGGAAAGUUUUUUCGGUGUAGGAUGAGCUCGCGGCCUAUCAGCUUGUUGGUGGGGUAAUGGCCUACCAAGGCGGCGACGGGUAGCCGGCCUGAGAGGGUGGACGGCCACAUUGGGACUGAGAUACGGCCCAGACUCCUACGGGAGGCAGCAGUGGGGAAUAUUGCACAAUGGGCGCAAGCCUGAUGCAGCGACGCCGCGUGGGGGAUGACGGCCUUCGGGUUGUAAACUCCUUUCGCUAGGGACGAAGCUUUUGUGACGGUACCUAGAUAAGAAGCACCGGCUAACUACGUG
rnacentral:rRNA from 1 species